rnacentral:ncRNA from 12 species
CCAGGGCCUAGCCGUGGCCUCAUGAACCACGGCGAAAAGCCACCUGCCCCUAGCGGCCUGGCCCUGGACGUUUUGAGGGG